AGUUUGAUAGCUCAAUAGGUUAGAGCAACCAACUUAUAAUUGGUAGAUAUAGGUUCAAGUCCUAAUCAAACCA
rfam:Lactobacillus sp. WiKim39, complete genome.